rnacentral:lncRNA from 1 species
GCACACUUCAACUCAUCUUCUAUCCAACAAAAAGAUAUUCACAUUACAAUAGAUAAUACUAGUAACAAAUUAAAUGGGCAUAUAAUAGCUUGCAAUAGUCAAAUUUUCAUCAAUUCACAACCCAACAGAACAUAACAAACAACAUCACAUGAGAGGAAACAUCCAUUUUGUUCCACUUGAAGUAUGCUUCUUCCAACUUUCGGUUGGAGCUGUUCUACUUGGACCUCCACACCACCCGUAGAAGCUGCUAGUCAUCCAUGCACCUUGUACUCUUUAUGUACAUGCAAAUAUAUUACAAGAUAAAGACAUUAAAAGCCAAAUUCAACAUGGCAAAAUCAUUUAAAAUUAUGAAGUGCUUGGAAUUUGGAAUUGCACAAUACAAAAUUUUAGUGAAUCAAAGUGAUACGGAUUAUGGCAGGAAGAAAUUUGAAGCUAUGUAAAAAUGUCCAGUCAGUUCACUCAUGCAAAUAACAGCACUUCCAAUGAGCAAUCAAACAACAAAGCACCAUCUUUUUUGUACUGCUCACAUUUAACAAAUUAAUCGAGCUAGAGCAACAAAGGAUACUAAUA